UAACUGGGUUUUUAUCUAUCUGCCCAUUUCAGACGAAAGUAGGUGGGACAAACCACAGUGGUGGCAGUUUUGAGGAGGUCCUGAGCUCCACAGCACACGCCAGCUCCCAGAAUGCUUCAGCAGGCAUCCGGCAGACCAGAGAAGAGGAUCUGCAGUGCUAGGCCCAGCCUGGGCUGCUGCCGGUCAGUUUGCCUGCUCAUCCCGUUAUGAAGACCAAAAUCCCACCGGGAACCCCAAGUUUUGACAUUGUUAUUUAAAUGGGGUCUCCAAAAAGUUUAAUGAAAUGAUUUCUCUUCGCACUUGUGUUGACGAUGGACCAGUCGACCAUUACUCUGGAGUGUUUACAAAUGUCACCUUUAAAAUAGGCAACCUGGAGCACGGUCCUAACUGGUCCUAUUCUUGUCUGUGUAACUCAAUGUAUUUCCCAAACAUGCAGCUACUAAUUAUUAGCUUUGCUUUUGGCUCAGUCUCCAUACCACUAUGCAUGUCUGGGAGUGCUGAGGCCUGUCAGUGUGCAGAGCCACAGGGGCACUAUUUGAUGACUGUCGCCUCCAGCUGGCCAAGUCACUCCAAACUUCACCAAAUUGCUUGUGAUCUCUCACCUACAUCAAUGUACAUCUAUUUAAGUCAUUAAAAUAAUUCACUAU
rnacentral:lncRNA from 1 species